AAGGCUUUAAGUUAAUAAAACUAAUAACCUUCAAAGCUAUAAAUAAAGAAAUUUCUUUAA
rnacentral:tRNA from 1 species